GCCAGCGUUCCGUUGUGUUGUACCCUCUGCCACGAGCGCCUGGAAGACACCCACUUCGUGCAGUGCCCCUCCGUCCCCUCCCACAAGUUCUGCUUCCCCUGCUCCCGGCAGAGCAUCAAGCAGCAGGGAGCCAGCGGGGAGGUGUAUUGCCCCAGCGGGGAGAAGUGUCCCCUGGUUGGCUCCAACGUGCCCUGGGCCUUCAUGCAAGGGGAGAUUGCCACCAUCCUGGCCGGAGAUGUGAAAGUGAAAAAGGAGAGGGACUCGUGACUCGCCUGUGCUCACCGCCCAACAUCACCUUGAACUCGAACUGCUCGAAUUAUGUAUAUAUCUAUAAAUAUAUAUAUAUAAAUAUAUAUAUAUCUCCAAGACAAGGGAAAUGUAGACUUCAUAAACAUGGCUGUAUAAUUUUGAUUUUUUUUGAAUACAUUGUGUUUCUAUAUUUUUUGAAGACAAGAGGUAGCCCAGCUCUGAGCGUGCCGAGGGAGAGACCUGCUCCUGACAAAGUGUACCCUUGUUUUGGGGCCAAGGGACAUUGAUGGGACUCGGUGGAGAGGCUUGUAAGGAAGCACACCUUCCUCCUCUUCCUGCCAGCUGCUCCACUCCUGCAGCUCUGGAACUCCUGGAGAGGAUGGAAACUCCCCAGCUGGUGAUGCCAGGCAGUGGCCCAGAAACAACACUGAUGGAGAAGAAAUGGCACAUGGUGGUGGCUGUGCUCACACAGCUGACUUUCAGCCCCUAGACAAGUCUAAUCUGCACCAUAAAACUUCAGAACUGCAAAAUAAAAUAAAAAAAAAAAA